UCUGCCUUUCACAUAGGGAUAGCCCGAAGAAAUUUGGAUUAAUACCUAAUGGUAUAUAAGAGCGGCAUCGUUUUUAUAUUAAAGCUACGGUGGUGAAAGAUGAGUAUGCGUUCUAUUAGCUAGUUGGAGAGGUAACGGCUCCCCAAGGCGACGAUAGAUAGGGGUUCUGAGAGGGAUGUCCCCCACACUGGUACUGAGAUACGGACCAGACUCCUACGGGAGGCAGCAGUGAGGAAUAUUGGACAAUGGUCGGAAGACUGAUCCAGCCAUGCCGCGUGCAGGAUGAAGGUCCUAUGGAUUGUAAACUGCUUUUGUAAGGGAAGAAUAAGGAGUACGUGUACUUUGAUGACGGUACCUUACGAAUAAGCAUCGGCUAACUCCGUGCCAGCAGCCGCGGUAAUACGGAGGAUGCGAGCGUUAUCCGGAAUCAUUGGGUUUAAAGGGUCCGUAGGCGGGCUGACAAGUCAGAGGUGAAAGCGCUUAGCUCAACUAAGCAACUGCCUUUGAAACUGUCAGUCUUGAAUGAUUGUGAAGUAGUUGGAAUGUGUAGUGUAGCGGUGAAAUGCUUAGAUAUUACACAGAACACCGAUAGCGAAGGCAUAUUACUAACAAUUUAUUGACGCUGAUGGACGAAAGCGUGGGGAGCGAACAGGAUUAGAUACCCUGGUAGUCCACGCUGUAAACGAUGGAUACUAGCUGUUUGGAGUAAUCUG
rnacentral:rRNA from 1 species